UACGUAGGGGGCUAGCGUUGUCCGGAAUCAUUGGGCGUAAAGCGCGCGUAGGCGGCCCGGUAAGUCCGCUGUAAAAGUCAAAGGCUCAACCUUUGAAUGUCAGUGGAUACUGCCGGGCUAGAGUCCGGAAGAGGCGAGUGGAACUCCUGGUGUAGCGGUGGAAUGCGCAGAUAUCAGGAAGAACACCGACGGCGAAGGCAGCACUCUGGGCCGGUACUGACGCUGAGGAGCGAAAGCAUGGGGAGCGAACAGG
rnacentral:rRNA from 1 species